GAUGAACGCUGGCGGCGUGCCUAAUACAUGCAAGUCGAACGCAUUGAGAAAAGUGCUUGCACUUUUCAAUUUGAGUGGCGAACGGGUGAGUAACACGUGGGCAACCUACCUGAUAGCGGGGGAUAACGAGUGGAAACAUUCGCUAAUACCGCAUAACAAAAGAGAAGGCAUCUUCUUUAUUUAAAAGGCGCUUUCAAGCGUCACUAUCAGAUGGGCCCGCGGUGCAUUAGUUAGUUGGUGGGGUGAAGGCCUACCAAGACGAUGAUGCAUAGCCGAGUUGGGAGGCUGAUCGGCAAAAUUGGGACUGAGACACGGCCCAAACUCCUACGGGAGGCUGCAGUAGGGAAUCUUCCACAAUGGACGAAAGUCUGAUGGAGCAACGCCGCGUGUGUGAUGAAGGCUUUCGGGUCGUAAAGCACUGUUGUAUGGGAAGAAAUGCUAGGCUAGGAAAUGAGCUUAGUUUGACGGUACCAUACCAGAAAGGGACGGCUAAAUACGUGCCAGCAGCCGCCGUAA
rnacentral:rRNA from 1 species